GAUCUUGAACAUCUACACCCCCUGCGCUAUACUAAAAGGUGCGGUGCCUCGCAAGGGGUGCGGCUAUGGCGUUGACAACGCCGGUGCGGAAUAGGGGCCUUGGACCCGGGGGCGGUACCCGGCGGCUCCACCAGAAUGCGGGGCAAUAGCCGCAUUCCGGCGGGGCCGAAAUAGGAUCGACAGGGCCCGGUAAAGGCACGCGGUGGCGCUCGGUUGGACCCGCCGUUAUCGGGACACAAAGCGAUAGUUGCCAAUGACAACAUCGUCUUACGCGUAGCCGCCAACGACGACUUCGCCGUCGUCGCUGACGAAAAAAUGGCCGCCUAAUCGGGUGACCAUUCUGCUGCGAUAAUCCCCGGCGGCUAGACCCCGCCGGGUGGGGCUUUCCCGGGUGGGCCCAGCAACAGAAACCACCC
rnacentral:tmRNA from 2 species